UACGUAGGCAGCAAGCGUUGUUCGGAGUUACUGGGCGUAAAGGGUGUGUAGGCGGUUCCUUAAGUUUGCUGUGAAAUCUCCCGGCUUAACCGGGAGGGUGCGGUGAAUACUGAGGGACUAGAGUACGGGAGAGGAAAGUGGAAUUCCUGGUGUAGCGGUGAAAUGCGUAGAUAUCGAGAGGAACACCUGCGGCGAAGGCGGGUUGCUGGGCUGACACUGACGCUGAUUGUGCGAAAGCUAGGGGAGCGAACGGG
rnacentral:rRNA from 1 species